GGAAGGUUGGCCGAGUGGCUGAAGGCACCUGAUUGAAACUCAGGCAGACGGGAAACUGUCUCGCGGGUUCGAAUCCCGCACCUUAUUA
rnacentral:tRNA from 1 species